UACUGAUUACUUAAAUAAAGUUAUUGCCUCACAAGUAAUUGUAAUUAAAUGAUUUAAAAUUCAUAUAAUUAUUUUAGAAGUAAAAUUCGAUGUAUGUAUAUUGUUGAUAUUUUAAUGUUUAUUGUUUCAUUGAAACAAAUAUAUGGCAACUGUUCCAAUUAUCUUCUACUGGGAGGAAACAUAAUUUGGGAUCCCGAUGAAGGUGUGUCAUAUGAUGCUGAGUCGAAAGGGAUAUAUGGGGUGCAACUUGGCACCACACUUAGCAAUUUUGAGGAGAUGUUUAUGUCCAAGGUGGCAAGUUACGGGGAAGCUGUCUGAUUGAUCUUCAAAUGUAGAUAUCCUUAUCGCCAGUGGCAAGCAACCAGCAAAUAGAAAAUAUUACCAAUCAAUGACGAUGAGGCGUUGAAUACUGUAUUAAGUAUCGGUGGAAGUUUUCAACCACCAAAUUGUUUGGAAGUGUACAUUGAUAAAGAGGUUGUACACCAUGUCCCGAAUAUGACACAGAUGGAUUCUCGUCCGUUCACUACAUUGCUGACACAUGGGAUUGACACGACAACAUUUCAGUCUCCUAUGUAUGAAUCAAAUGAAUGUUAUGCAGUGGGCUACACACAACAGACAUUUCAAGGCCGUGGUGUAGAAUCAAGUUCACGUAGUGGAUAUGAGACUGAAUUUCACAAUAACACGGAAGAUGUGCCCACCUACAGCCAUCAUACCACUCUAGUUGAAGUUAUAUGGCUGAAACGAUGAAUUAUGUGCAGUUUGUUGACAGUGACAUUUACAGUCCUGAUGUCGCCCUAGACAAUGAUGAGAAUGAAAUGUGUGAUGAAGAAAAUUUAUUGGGCGAAUCAGAUGAUUUUGAUGAAGAAGAUGAUACCGACGCUCCCGUUGAUAUUUAGAAUGCCCCCAUUCCACCUAGACCUGAAAUCCCUUUCUAUGAAAACAUUUACAGGGGUGGUGAAUUUGACAUUAGUAACCGCAAUGUCGUUCCACGUAACCGAAUCUGGAACGCUGAAAAUCCAGAGUUGGACAAAUGGAUGAUUUUCGUUGAUAAGAAGCAACUCGUACAUGCUGUGAAAUUGUACCAUGCAACAAAUAAUCGAGAGUAUAAAGUCGUAGCCUCCAAGCGAGACGUUUGGGUAUGUGCUUGCAAGCACGAUUGCAGAUGGUGGUUGCGUGCAUCUCUUAGUAGGAUACAUGGUCUUUUUGAAGUAAAACAGUAUAGGGGUCCUCACCAUUGUUUAUACCCACGAAUGAACAGGGACCACACUAAUAUUAGCUCUAGUUACAUUGCUUCUUAUCUUUUGGGACAAGUUGCGAAUGAACCUGAUAUGCCAAUUAAGAAUGUCAUCGAAGAUAUCAAAAAGACCAUGAACUAUAGUAUAUCAUACAAGAAGGCGUGGCAUGCAAGGGCAAAGGUAAUUAAAAUGGUAUUCGGGGAUUGGGAUGAAUUAUAUAGGCUGUUGCCUAAAUUCAUGAAUGCAUUACAAACAUCUAAUCCUGGCACCAUCGUGCAAUGGAAGCAUAGAUAUACCGGAGGUACAACCAAUAUGCCCGUCUUCCACUUUGUUUUUUGGUCUUUCAAACCCGUCAUCGAUGGAUUUAGAUAUUGUAGGCCUGUUAUAAACAUAGAUGGUGCAUUCUUAUACGGGAAAUACAUUGGUGUAUUGCUUGUAGUAACGAUUGUCACUGCCAAUGGCAAAGUAUUACCACUUGCAUUCGCUGUUGUCGACAGGGAGAGUUUGGAGUCUUGGUCGUUCUUUAUUUCAAAUAUCAAAGAACAUAUUGUCACGGACCGACAGGGAGUGACUUUGAUAUCUGAUCGAGCUAAGAGUAUUUUAGCUACUGUGAGGCGACAUUGGCUGAAUCCCUCGCUCAAAUUUGUUGGAUAUCAUCGGCACUGCCUUCGACAUGUUUGUAGUAACUUUAACACUAGGUUCAAAAAUAAGGAGCUGAAACAACUUCCAUGGAAAGCAGAGAGUGCUCAUCAACGACGAAAGUGUAAUGGUUACUUAGAACAAAUACAGGCUAUUAACCAAGAUGCCAUCAAUUGGGUUCACAAGAUGAAUCCUGUGGAGUGGGCCCUUGCGUAUGACGGUGGAUAUCGGUGGGAGGUAUUGACCAGCAAUGAUGCAGAGUGCUUCAAUAGCGUCUUGAAAGGUGCAAGGAACUUACCUAUCUCAGCUAUGGUUGAAUUUACAUUUCGGCGGCUCGUAAAAUAUUUUGACGAGAUGGGAGCCCAAGUUGAAAUAGAUGUACGAAAUGAGUUCCAAUACCCUAGAGAGAUGCAAAAAACUAUUGAGGAUGGCAUCGCAAGGGCAAAUACUUUCAAGUUGAUAUCGUAUGACAGGCCCCGCCGCGUAUUUGAGGUGCAAACAUCUUUUCGCCAUGGACGAGGUCACAAUACACAAAUUGUGCAGAUGAAUCAACCCACGUGCAGUUAUGGGAAAUAUGAGAUAAGACACUAUCUAUGUUCCCAUAUGCUCGCUGUAAUAUCUGAAUGCGGUGACAAUCCAUUCGAGUACGUUGAUCUAGUAUAUAGGUUUUCUAUAUACAUGAGGGUUUGGGAAACUAAAUUCAAUCCAAAACUGCAUCAAGAUUAUUAGGAUAAUCCGCAAUGGACCUUAAUGCCUAAUGUACAUCGUCUGCGAGAAGUAAAACGGGGUUGUACAUCUAUGUCUCGUAUUCCAAAUGAGAUGGAUAUAUCAGAUAGGCGUUUGACCGCUCGUUGCAGUGAGUACCAGCAGACAGGUCAUGACAGGCGAACAUGUCCGAUACGACUUGGUCGAUGAAGACUAUGUAAUACCUACAUAUUGUAAUAGAUCAUUUUUUAAUUCUCUAUUUGUAAUAGAUCAUUUAAUUCUUUAUUUGUAAACGGAGUCGUACAUUUAAAUAGAUCAUUUU